UACGAAGGGGGCUAGCGUUGCUCGGAAUCACUGGGCGUAAAGGGUGCGUAGGCGGGUCUUAAGUCAGGGGUGAAAUCCUGGAGCUCAACUCCAGAACUGCCUUUGAUACUGAGGAUCUUGAGUUCGGGAGAGGUGAGUGGAACUGCGAGUGUAGAGGUGAAAAUUCGUAGAUAUUCGCAAGAACACCAGUGGCGAAGGCGGCUCACUGGCCCGAUACUGACGCUGAGGCACGAAAGCGUGGGGAGCAAACAGG
rnacentral:rRNA from 1 species